UACGGGGGGGGGCAAGCGUUGUUCGGAAUUACUGGGCGUAAAGGGCUCGUAGGCGGCCAACUAAGUCGGAUGUGAAAUCCCCCAGGCUUAACCUGGGAACUGCAUCCGAUACUGGAUGGCUUGAAUUCGGGAGAGGGAUGCAGAAUUCCAGGUGUAGCGGUGAAAUGCGUAGAUAUCUGGGAGGAAUACCGGUGGCGAAGGCGGCAUCCUGGACCGACAUUGACGCUGAGGAGCGAAAGCUAGGGGAGCAAACGGG
rnacentral:rRNA from 1 species